rnacentral:rRNA from 1 species
UGACCUCAAAUCAGGUAGGACUACCCGCUGAACUUAAGCAUAUCAUUAAGCGGAGGAAAAGAAACUAACAAGGAUUCCCCUAGUAACUGCGAGUGA